rnacentral:rRNA from 1 species
GUUAGUCCUAGCAGUAAACGAUGGAUACUAGGUGUGGGGGUGUUGACCCCUCCUGUGCCGAAGCUAACGCAUUAAGUAUCCCGCCUGGGGAGUACGGUCGCAAGACUAAAACUCAAAGGAAUUGACGGGGACCCGCACAAGCAGCGGAGCGUGUGGUUUAAUUCGAUGCAACGCGCAGAACCUUACCCAGGCUUGACAUGGCGGCAGUAGAACCCGGAAACGGGAACGACUCGUCAAGGCGAGAACCGGCACAGAUGCUGCAUGGCUGUCGUCAGCUCGUGCCGUGAGGUGUUGGGUUAAG